UUACUGCGAAAAAUGCCCAGUCUAGGCAGUGCACUAGAGAUAAAGUGCGAGGGCUUAAAUGCAAUUGUCACAACACCUUAUAUGGCUCAAUCCUCUCCCCUCUUCACAGCAAACACCCCAAACACAACACCUUAUAUGGCCCAAUCCUCUCCCCUCUUCACAGCAAACACCCCAAACACAACACCUUAUAUGGCCCAAUCCUCUCCCCUCUUCACAGCAAACACCCCAAACACAACACCUUAUAUGGCCCAAUCCUCUCCCCUCUUCACAGCAAACACCCCAAACACAACACCUUAUAUGGCCCAAUCCUCUCCCCUCUUCACAGCAAACACCCCAAACACAACACCUUAUAUGGCCCAAUCCUCUCCCCUCUUCACAGCAAACACCCCAAACACCUCUCCCUCUCAUUUCCUCUGCUCUCUCUCUCUAGAGCUCACCUAGGGCUUGAAGGAGAAGAAGAAGAAGCUUGGGGGAGGAUUUUUGGUGGAUUUGGUGGGUUUAGGAUCUCUCCUAUAAGAAGGAUCUUGGAGAGCUUUGGACCAAGGUAUGGUUUCAUGAAAACCUAGGCUAGGGUUUGGAUUUCUCCCAAGAAAACUUAGGUUUUGGAGCUUCUUCGAUGAUUAGAGCACCUCUUGAGGCUUGAGCUCCAUGAAAAUCCAUGGAAGCCCAAGGUCCUCUCAUGAUGAACUUCUUGGGUUCAUCUUGGAUGCCCUAGAAAUGGCUUAGUUGGCCUUAGAUGAGCACCAAGAAGCUUGACAAGCUCUAUUUUGCUUGUUUUAGAGAUCAAAACCUAGGGUUUAGCAAUGGAUUUGGUUAGGGCACCAAAUUUGGGGCUUUUGCCCUAGAAUUUUUC
rnacentral:lncRNA from 1 species